UCCCUGGAGGACCAGUGGUUAGGCUGCAGCGCUUUCACUGCUGUGGCCUGGGUUCGAUUCCCAGCCAGGGAA
rnacentral:tRNA from 1 species